GUUAACGGCCAUACCUAGGCGAAAACACCAGUUCCCGUCCGAUCACUGCAGUUAAGUGAAAACGUUUGAGGGUCCCGUAGGUGGUUGGAGACAACAUGGGAAUCCGGGGUGCUGUAGGCU
rnacentral:rRNA from 1 species